GAUGAACGCUAGCUACAGGCUUAACACAUGCAAGUCGAGGGGCAGCAUGAACUUAGCUUGCUAAGUUUGAUGGCGACCGGCGCACGGGUGAGUAACACGUAUCCAACCUGCCGAUGACUCGGGGAUAGCCUUUCGAAAGAAAGAUUAAUACCCGAUGGCAUAGUUCUUCCGCAUGGUAGAACUAUUAAAGAACUUCGGUCAUCGAUGGGGAUGCGUUCCAUUAGGUUGUUGGCGGGGUAACGGCCCACCAAGCCUUCGAUGGAUAGGGGUUCUGAGAGGAAGGUCCCCCCACAUUGGAACUGAGACACGGUCCAAACUCCUACGGGAGGCAGCAGUGAGGAAUAUUGGCCAAUGGACGAGAGUCUGAACCAGCCAAGUAGCGUGAAGGAUGACUGCCCUAUGGGUUGUAAACUUCUUUAUACGGGAAUAAAGUGAGGCACGUGUGCCUUUUUGUAUGUACCGUAUGAAUAAGGAUCGGCUAACUCCGUGCCA
rnacentral:rRNA from 1 species